rnacentral:rRNA from 1 species
GACGAACGCUGGCGGCGUGCUUAAUGAAUGCGAGUCGAGCGAGAACCGGACUGAGGAAACCUUCGGGUGGAAUCAGUCUGGGGAGAGCGGCAAACGGGUGAGUAACACGUGGGUAACCUGCCCCUCAGACGGGGAUAAUUCGCCGAAAGGCGGACUAAUACCCGAUGGUGAUGUGCCAACACAUGUUGAUACAUCUAAAGGCUCCGGUGCUGAGGGAGGGGUCCGCGGCCGAUUAGCUUGUUGGUAGGGUAACGGCCUACCAAGGCUUCGAUCGGUAGCCGGUCUGAGAGGAUGACCGGUCACACUGGGACUGAGACAUGGUCCAGACUCCUACGGGAGUUAGCAUCAGGGAAUCUUGCGCAAUGGGCGAAAGGGUGACGCAGCGACGCCGCGUGGGUGAUGAAGGCCUGCGGGUCGUAAAGCCCUGUCGGGAGGGAAGAAACAGCACCUUCGGGUGCUUUGACUGUACCUCCGGAGGAAGCCCCGGCUAAUUACGUGCCAGCAGCCGCGGUAAUACGUAAGGGGCCAGCGUUGUCCGGAAUUACUGGGCGUAAAGAGCACGUAGGCGGUUAGGAAAGCGAUAGGUGAAAUCCCCCGGCUCAACCGAGGAACUGCUUAUCGAACUGCCUGACUAGAGCACGGGAGAGGGCACUGGAAUUCCUGGUGUAGCGGUGGAAUGCGUAUAUAUCAGGAGGAACACCGGUGGCGAAAGGCUGGUGCCUGGAACGUUGCUGACGCUAAGGUGCGAAAGCCAGGGGAACAAACGGGAUUAGAUACCCCGGUAGUCCUGGCCGUAAACGAUGGACACUAGGUGUUGGAGGUUCGACCYCUUCAGUGCUGUUAAGCUAACGCGUUAAGUGUCCCGCCUGGGAGUACGGUCGCAAGGCUGAAACUCAAAGGAAUUGACGGGGGCCCGCACGAGCGGUGGAGCAUGUGGGUCAAUGGGAUGAUACGCCGAGAACCUUACCAGGGCUUGACAUGACCCUGAUCCCCUGCGAAAGCAGGUCUUCUGGGCAACCAGACAGGGCCACAGGUGGUGCAUGGUUGUCGACAGCUCGUGUCGUGCGAUGCUGGGUUAAGUCCCGCAACGAGCGCAACCCUCGCCGGAUGUUGCCAGCGGUUAGGCCGGGCACUCUUCCGGGACUGCCGGAGUAAUCCGGAGGAAGGGGGGGAUGACGUCAAAUCUGCAUGCCCCUUAUGUCCUGGGCUGCACACGUGCUACAAUGGCGAGUACAAAGGGUCGCGAAGCCGCGAGGCCCAGCUAAUCCCCAAAAACUCGUCCCAGUUCGGAUUGGAGUCUGCAACUCGACUCCAUGAAGUCGGAAUCGCUAGUAACCGUGGAUCAGCAAUGCCGCGGUGAAUACGUUCCCGGGCCUUGUACACACCGCCCGUCAAGUCACGGGAGCCGACAGCACCCCAAGUCCGCUACGGCGGCCCAAGGUGAGGUCAGUGUCUGGG